GUAAGGAAUAUUGGUCAAUGGAGGCAACUCUGAACCAGCCAUGCCGCGUGCAGGAUGACGGCCCUAUGGGUUGUAAACUGCUUUUAUACGGGAAGAAAACCCUCUACGUGUAGAGGACUGACGGUACCGUAAGAAUAAGGAUCGGCUAACUCCGUGCCAGCAGCCGCGGUAAUACGGAGGAUCCGAGCGUUAUCCGGAUUUAUUGGGUUUAAAGGGUGCGUAGGCGGUAUAGUAAGUCAGUGGUGAAAGCCCGCAGCUCAACUGCGGAACUGCCAUUGAUACUGCUAAACUUGAGUGUGUUUGAUGUGGGCGGAAUGUGCAGUGUAGCGGUGAAAUGCUUAGAUAUUGCACAGAACACCAAUUGCGAAGGCAGCUCACAAAACCACAACUGACGCUGAGGCACGAAAGCGUGGGGAUCAAACAGGAUUAGAAACCCCGGUAGUCC
rnacentral:rRNA from 1 species